AUGCUGGGGAAAUUCCCUGAACUCAUGGGGCAGUGUGGAAAGAAGAGGUUGGGGGAGGGGGGCCAGACAAUGGGAACUGGUGGGGAGGGUGGCCAGGAGGAGCUGCGUGCACCUCUACCGAGAGGGACGUUGUAACCCUGCUCCGCGGUGGAGGGAGCUGUGGCUCCAGCUAGAAGGGAGUAGCUAUUCAGCAGGAUUCAGCAGGGCCUCAUGGCCUGUGCCAGAGCGGGCUAGGGAUGCCGGCUUUUCUGAGGCACGCAGCCCUCUGGGAGAUGCUCCUCCUCUCCUUCUAGAGAGAAAAGGUGGAACCAAAGUAACAGGAGCCUUGAUUUGAGAAAAAUUUCUGAAAGUCAAUCCUUUCUAAUUAUUAUUACUAUUAAUCAGGAAAUGUUAUUCAUGUUUGAAUUGCUAUAAACUGAAAGUCCUUCCUGUCUUCCUUGCAGGCAGGUCAUUCUAGGUUUCUUGAAUGACUUUAUGAAUCUCUGGACUUCAACCAGCUUUGGAAGCCAAGAUAACAUGAUAACAAGAGACCCUUGUCUCUUGCCACUUGAAGUCAGUGGCCUGAAAGGACCACUGAAUUUUGUUAACUCCCCUACAGAUCACCUACUUUGAAAAUCCAUGCUUUUUCCAUUCAUUCUCUUCUCCAGAGGAAAUUGCUGUUCUGAUUUUUAGUUUUGCCUACUCUUGAACUUUUUAAAAACGGAAUCAUCCAAUGUGUACUCUUUUAUGCCUGGCUUUUUUUUGCUCAACUUAAUGUCUGUGAGAUUCACACAUGUUAUUGUGAAUAUUAGUAGUAUACUUUGUAUUCAAUUAAAUAUUCAUUGAAUAAUUCAAAUUAAGCAUUCAAUUGUAGAAAUAUAUGCAGGUUUAUUUAUUCAUUCAUCUGUUGUUGGACAGUUGGGUCAUUUUCAAUAGUUUGACUAUUAUGAAGUGGCUGUAAACAUUAUUAUAUAAGUCUUUUUGCACAUCAUAGGAAAAGAUUGCCAUAAAAUUAUUGUCACUCUUCCUAUUGAGAUGUGGCACCUAUGUUUCAUACCCGUGAAUCUGAACUGGCCCUGUGGCUGGUUUUGAUCAAUAUAAUUUGGCAGAACUGAUGCUGUGUAACUUGUGCAAGGAUAUCUACAGCUUCCACCUUGGUCUUUUGGAAUGAUUCUUCUUGGAACCCAACCCCUGUGCUUUGAGAAGCCUGAGCUAUGUGUAGAGGCCGUAUGGAAGAGAACCAAGGCACUCCAGCUGAUGGGCCUCACUGGGCUCCCAGCUGAGAGCCAGCACCAACCUGCAACCGUGUAAGCAAUCGUCUUGUACUUUCCAACCUAGUCAAAUUUCAGAUGUCUGCAACUCCAGCCACAUGGAGCAAAAGAUUCACAGAGAUGAGUCCAGUCCCCUAUCAACCCAGAUAAUCCUGAGACAAUAAAUAGCUAUUGUUUUAACCCACUAAGUUUUGAGAUAAUUUUUUACACAGAAACAAUCAAAUUAUUUAUUUUCACUUCUUCAGGAUAAGUAUUAGGAAUAGAACUGCUGGACCAUAUAAUACGUGUGUAUUAAUCUUUAUAGAAAAUUACCAAAUUAUUACCAGAGGUAGUUUUACCUUUUCAUACUCCUACUAGCAAAGUAAGAGUGCCCUGGUUUCUCCAUAUCCUCGUCAUAACUGUUUUUAAAUUUUUAGCUACUGGCAGUUAUUCAUGCUAUCCCAUUGGGUUUUUAAUUUUUAUUUCAUGAUUACUAAUAAUGUUGAAAACUUUUCCUUGUGUUUAAUUAUCAUUUGUAAAUUUUCCUUUGUGAAAUCUAUUUACAAAUCUUUUGUCUAUUUUGUUGUAAAUUGAGUUUUUGCCAUUUUAUAUUUGUCGGAGUUAAUUGUAUAUUGUAGAUACAAGUUCUUUGAUUGAUAGAUAAAUGUAUUGUGCUUUUUUUUUUUUUUUUUUUUUUUUUUUGAGACGGAGUCUAGCUCUGUCGCCCAGGCUGGAGUGCAGUGGCGCAGUCUCGGCUCACUUCAAGCUCCGCCUCCCGGGUUCACACCAUUCUCCUGCCUCAGCCUCCUGAUUAGCUGGGACUACAGGCCUCCGCCACCACGCCCAGCUAAUUGUUUGUAUUUUUAGUAGAGACAGGGUUUCACCGUGUUAGCCAGGAUGGUCUCCAUCUCCUGACCUCGUGAUCCGCCCGCCUCAGCCGCCCAAAGUGCUGGGAUUACAGGCGUGAGCCACUGCCCCCAGCCCUUGUGAUUUUUUAGUCUAUAGCUUGACUUUUUAUUUUCUUAAGAAUGUCUUUGAGGAGGAGAAAGUUUGAAUUCUGAUAAAGUCAAACUUACCAAUUUUUAAAUGAUUAAUCCUAUUUUAUGUUUGUCCUCUCUGAGAAAUUAUUGUCUACCUCCAUGGUUGAAAGAUAUUCUUUUGUAAGUUUUCAAAAGUUUUUGUUUACCUUUUAUAUUCAUAUAUAUAAGCCAUAUUGAAUUAAUUUUUAUAAAUGAUCCAAAAUAGUAAUUGAGAUACAUUGUUUCACUUUUUAAUAUAACUGUCAAAUUAUUAUAACAAGAUUUUUGAAAACUUUUCUCAUUAAAUUUACUCAGAACCAUUACCAGAAUUCAAUGAUGGCAUACAUGUGCAUCUAUUUCUAGACUUUAUUUGAUUUCAUGGUCUAUGUGUCUCUUCUUACACCAAAUGUCCUUAUAAAUCUAGCUUUAUAGUAAGCCUUGAAAUCAGAUAGUGCAUCAGCUAAAGGCUGUAGCAUUGGUCAAUUUGAAUGCUUCCUUUCUAUCUUUAGCUUUUAAAAUGGCUUCCUUCCUUUAGCAUCAUAUCAUAUUGAAUGGAGCAUCUGGGAUCUCCAUUUUGAAGCAUAUGUCUGUAGGCAGCCAUAGCCCCUCCAACAAAUCUUAAAGAAAAAAGCAAGCAUCAAAGCCAAGCCAAUCACAGCAUUAUAGCAUUAUUACAGGCAUUGCAAGUAUAACAGGUUAGCAUAUAUGUGCUUGUAGAAAUGAAGUGUUACCAUUCUUGUAGUUUAAAAUGGUCAGGGAGAACUCCAGUUAGUUUCUAUUUAGUACCACCAAGUACAUGUUCGGCAUUUCUUUUUAUAAUUACUAUUGUCCCCAUAAGACUAUACUUUUUAUUUUGAGGAAAUUGUACAGGCAAACCUUCUUUAUUGUGCUUAGCUUUAUUGCACUUCACAGGCGUUGCAUUUUGUACAUGUUGAAGGUCUGUGGCAACCCUGCAUUGAGCAAGUUUAUUGAGAACAUUUUUCCAACAGCAUUUGCUCACUUUGUCUCUGUGUCACAUUUUGGUAAAUCUUGCAGUAUUUCAAAAUUUUUUAUUGCAAUUAUUUCUGUUGUGGUUCUCUGUGACCAGUGGUCAUUGUUGUUACAUUGUAAAUGUUUUGAGAUGCCACAAACUGUGUUCAUAAACAAGGGUGAACUUAAUCGAUGAAUGUGUGUGUGUGUUUUGAAUGCUCCACUGACUGGUCAUUCUUUUAUCUGCCUCCUUCUCUUUGGGCCUCCCUAUUCUCUGAGAUAUAAUAAUAUUGAAAUUAGGCCAAUU
rnacentral:lncRNA from 10 species